rnacentral:rRNA from 1 species
GCCUACGAUCAUACUACGUUGAAAGCACCACAUCCCGUCAGAUCUGCGCAGUUAAACAACGUUUGGCCGCAUCAGUGCCUUGGUUGGUGACAACAAGGGAACGUUCGGUGUCGUAGACA